rnacentral:rRNA from 1 species
UACGGAGGAUCCGAGCGUUAUCCGGAUUUAUUGGGUUUAAAGGGUGCGCAGGCGGGAGAUUAAGUCGGCGGUGAAAUUUUGCAGCUCAACUGUAAAAGUGCCAUCGAUACUGGUUUUCUUGAGUGUGGAUGAAGUAGGCGGAAUUUGUGGUGUAGCGGUGAAAUGCAUAGAUAUCACGAGGAACUCCGAUUGCGCAGGCAGCAUACUAGGCCAUAACUGACGCUCAGGCACGAAGGCGUGGGGAUCAAACAGGAUUAGA